GGGUCGGUGGCGUAGUUGGUUAUCGCAUCUGUCUUACAUGCACACAGAAGGUCCUCAGUUCGAGCCUGGGUCGACUCA